UCCCUAUGGGGUGCAGCAGGCGCGAAACCUCCACAAUUCACGAAAGUGAGAUGGGGUUACCUCGAGUGCCGUCUGAAGAAGGCGGCUUUUCCAUGGUGUAACAAGCCGUGGGAAUAAGGGGGGGGCAAGACUGGUGUCAGCCGCCGCGGUAACACCAGCCCCCCGAGUGGUGGGGAUGAUUAUUUGGCCUAAAGCGUCCGUAGCCGGCUCUGUAAAUCUCUCGUUAAAUCCAGCGUCCUAAGCGUUGGGCUGCGAGGGAAACUGCAGAGCUAGAGGGUGGGAGAGGUCAGCGGUAUUCCUGGGGUAGGGGCGAAAUCCAUUGAUCCCAGGAGGACCACCAGUGGCGAAGGCUGCUGUCCAGAACACGCCUGACGGUGAGGGACGAAAGCUGGGGUAGCGAAUCGGAUUAGAUACCCGAGUAGUCCCAGCCGUAAACGAUGCAGGCUAGGUGUUGGGUCGGCCACGCGCCGCCUCAGUGCCACAGGGAAGCCAUUAAGCCGGCCGCCUGGGGAGUACGGCCGCAAGGCUGAAACUUAAAGGAAUUGGCGGGGGAGCACCACCAGGCGUGAAGCCUGCGGUUUAAUUGGAUUCAACGCCGGAA
rnacentral:rRNA from 1 species